AAGUCGUAACAAGGUUUCCGUAGGUGAACCUGCGGAAGGAUCAUUAUCAACGUAUCCACGUAUAAACCAAACUGUGAACUGUUCUUUGCCUUUGGGAUGAGAGUAAUGGGGAUUGUUAGUGCAGUGUGAAUAUACCCUCCUUUCGGGGUUGGGGAUAUGCCUACUAUCUUCGCUCUUCGGAGGCUUUCAUUCCCAAAGUUGUAUCAUCACACUUUUAUUAUCAUUAACCAAUUGAACCUCAACAAACAAAAUUGAAUUUAUGAACUGAUCUGUUUCUUACUCGAGGAGAAAUCCGAGAGAAGAAAUAAAUUUACGAAACAUAAAAUACAACUCUUAGCAACGGAUAUCUUGGUUCUC
rnacentral:misc_RNA from 1 species